rnacentral:misc_RNA from 1 species
GAUGAAGAACGUAGCGAAAUGCGAUAAGUAGUGUGAAUUGCAGAAUUCAGUGAAUCAUCGAAUCUUUGAACGCACAUUGCGCCCCUUGGUAUCCCGAGGGGCAUGCCUGUUCGAGCGUCAUUUCACCACUCAAGCCUGGCUUGGUGUUGGGCGACAUCCCCUUUGGGGACGCGCCUCGAAACGCUCGGCGGCGUGGCACCGGCUUUAAGCGUAGCAGAAUCUUUCGCUUUGGAAGUCGGGGCCCCGUCUGCCGGAAGACCUACUCGCAAGGUUGACCUCGGAUCAGGCAGGGAUACCCGCUGAACUUAAGCAUAUCAAUAAGCGGAGGA